rnacentral:lncRNA from 1 species
GACACUUUCAUGGCUCUGGGAAAGUUAUCCACUUUUCCUAACUAGGUUCCCCAUCCCCAGUCCUCUUGUUCAAGUUAACCCACACUCAAGUCCUGCAUAGCAUCUGUGUCACUGACAGAUGGUGAGAUACUGGGUGUGGAGUGAGAUCAUCACAAUCAGAACAGUUAGAGAAUCCAGAAAAACUGAGAGUGUUGGCAGGGGCCCUUAGGACAAUGGCAAAGGAUCCAUUAUCCUUCUGCUCUUCAGGUCUCAUAUGUGACUUUAGCCAGAGUGAGGCCAAUUUACAGUUAUUCCUAGAGCCCAGUGCAAUUUGCACAUGAUGAGAAGAUGCACAUUCAUGGCCAAAGUGGAAGAUUUGGAUAACAGGCUGGCUGCAGAAAUGCUCCCCUAUGCAUGAGGCCAGCACAUGGCCGCAUGGUCUCCUCAGUGCUGCCCAGAGCAUUAUUAUAUUUCCAUAUUGGUCUGGAGGCCAAAUGAAUAGAAACCAGGCAUUUAAAAGGGAUCUGGGAAUGGCCAGCAGUUAACGCUCCCACUACAGUGGAGGAUGGUUCUACCCUUUCCUGACCCAUACAUCUCUCAAAUCACUUUGGUCCUUCUAAAGCCUUGGCUGUAAAUGAGGCUGACCAGCUAUUGAGAAGAAGCUUAGACCUAAAAUGAGAAAAGGAAAAUAAUCCCACCAAAUGAAAUCUCACCAGAAAGGUAACAUGUUUAUUAAAAAAAAAAAAAAAAAAAAAAACAAACCAGUUAUUGUAGGGUUAGCACUGAGCUAGGUAGAGAAUGAGUAAGAACAAAUUUCUGCCCUUGAAGGCCCCACUGCCUACUUGACAGAGACAGGCACAUGGGCAGAGGGACAAAGGCAAGGUGGUGAGCUGAGCUGGAGUCCAGAGGCUCAGUGUAUGGCCCAUGCACAGCAGGUAAGAAUACAUGUUCUGGAUGGGGCUGACCAAAGGCAAACCCCAGCCCUCCCACUGACCAGCCUUUUAACCUGAUCUGCGUGACCCUCAUUUCCCUGGGUCUUGGCUUUCUCAUCUGUAAAAUGGGGGGUGAGUGCCCACUCACAGUUGUUGUGAAAAUAAAAUGAGUUUAUGCACCAGAAGUUCUUCAUGCCUAGUCUGAUGCAAGCCCACACAAGAACACUGGUGUUGUCAUAAUGGAUGGCCUCUGGUGGCAGUAGUGAAAUUCCUCCAACAGCUUUGUGGGCCCUGGAUUGGAGCUGGAAAGAAAGACCAUGGUGAAUGCCACUUGUGAUGGGUCCAGCUGACAGUCGGACUUGGGGGCCCUUGGGAAACUGCCUUUGAAGAUCCUCAGAAAUACUUGGGAGGGUGGUGAGUUUAUGAAGGACUCACAGAGGCUACCAUAUGGAUAGGAAUAAAACCAGUUGUGUUGUUGCAAGACCAAUUAUGGGAUGAAUGAUGAAGGAACUGUGGAAAUACAGAACUAAGUAAAUCACCUUCUGCUGUCAUCAGAGAAGGCUCAAUGCAGGGGCAUCACUGGCACUAGCUCUGGAAGGUUAAGGGACAUGGCACAGGUGAUUAACUGCCACAGCAAUAGAUGCCUUUGAAUGAAUACACUGACCUCCAUGCUCAGUUCCGCCUGGCUGAUGUGCAUGCAGAUUGUUCCCCUGUGGCUUGAGUAGCAUCUUCUGCUCUAGGAGACAAUGGGAAACAGGAUCUCAUUGACACAGGCCACCUCCUUUCCCAAGAGCCCUUCAUUUUGAUGACAAAGGACUCUUACCUUGCAAUAUGAACAAAGGCCAAAUGGCUUGUCUUCAUCCAGCAUCCUCAUUCAGAACUAGCCAACUGAGAUCUGUCACAUGGGGCCAUGGUAGUGGGGCCUGCCACAUCCCACCUCCCUAUAAGCUGUCACACCAGCUCUUGGCAGUGUGAGCCUGGGCUGCUGGCCACUCUGUAAAUGUAGCUACAUGAGGAAGAAAAAUAGACAUUAAAGCAGAAAAGGAGGUACGAUCCCUAGGGCUGCUUUCAGGAUGACAAAGGGUCGGAAACAGCAACUCCUGAGAGCAGGAGCCAUGCCUUUGCAAACACUGGGAUGUGCACAUACCUGCCUUAAGUCCAUGCAAGGGAGUGUGCAAGAGUGUGAGAGAGAAGCUAUGCCUCCCCAACUCCUCAUAAGGAGAAACAGUUCAAACUCUUAGACUUUGAUAGAACUUUCCAACAUAUGUGAAAUCAGCUACCUAAAUUAUGAGUCAUAAGUCACAUACCAAUUGCUAUGGUUUGAAUGUUUGUGUCUCCUCCAAAAUUUAUGUUGAACCUUAAGAGAUUUAUACCUUAUGAAAGAGCCAGAGAGAACUAGCUGGGCCUUUUUGAGCCCUUCUGUUCUCUGGAGGAUGCAGUGUUCAAGGCGCCAUCUUGGAAGCAGAGACCGGCCCUCACCAGAUAUGUGGCCCUCACGAGACACAAAAACUGCAGUCAUCUUGCUCCAGACUCCUCGACUGUGAGCAAUAAAUUUGUGCUGUUUACAAAUUACACAGUUAAGGUAUUUUGCUGUAGCAGCACAAACAGACUAAGAUACCAACUGACCUGCGGAUUUUGUGGAGAGACCUACCACUCCUACAUCCUAGUACUCUGAGCCUCUAAACAUGGCUUUCAUGUGGUAUGUCUAUGCCUUGAAGUCCAGACCCAAGAAAAACAAACCCAAAGAGAGACGGGGGUUCCCUGCUUGAGUUUUCUGUCUAAAGACUCACUUUUCUGGAUGAUGGAACAUGGGAGUGAUUGACAUUGGAAAAGAUUUCUUACUUCCAGGCAAGCCC